UGGGGAAUUUUUCGCAAUGGGGGCAACCCUGACGAAGCAACGCCGCGUGGAGGAUGAAGGCCCUAGCGGUUGUAAACUCCUGUCUAGCGGGACGAAGGUACAGGAAUCGAAUAGAUUUCGGUAUUGACUGUACCGCUGGAGGAAGCUCCGGCUAACUCCGUGCCAGCAGCCGCGGUAAUACGGAGGGAGCAAGCGUUACUCGGAAUUAUUGGGCGUAAAGGGCGCGUAGGCGAUUUGACAUGUCUUAUGUGAAAGCCCAGGGCUUAACUCUGGAAGUGCAUAAGAAACUGUUGAAUUUGAGUACAGGAGAGGAAGGCAGAAUUCCCGGUGUAGCGGUGAAAUGCGUAGAUAUCGGGAGGAAUACCAGUGGCGAAGGCGGCCUUCUGGACUGUAACUGACGCUGAGGCGCGAAAGCUAGGGGAGCAAACGG
rnacentral:rRNA from 1 species